rnacentral:rRNA from 1 species
AUGGUAACUGCUAAUGCUAUUGGCUCCGGCGACCUGAGCAUCCGUGUCCUGAGUCGCCGCCUUGUCAAGGCCUCCGACCCAUCUACCAAGCCGCACGUAGCCGCCUUCUCGAACCUCGACCUCUACCCUGGCAACGAGCAGGCCUCGAUAGUAUGCCUCUACCCCAAGCUCCCAAACGCCGGUGACUUCCCGGCGGUUGUAGCCACCUUCGACUCCAUCCUCCCGUCGUUGCUCAACGACUUCUACCAUUUCGCCGGGCGCAUCCGCACCAACCCAAGCUCCGGCCUCCCCGAGCUGCUCUGCGACAACCAAGGCGCAGAGCUGGUGGUCGGCGAGGCCGGUGUCGCCAUGGCCAGCCUGGACUACGGCCUGGCGGAGCAGUCGUUGAAGAAGAUAAUGCUUCCGUACGCCGAGGACGUCACGCUCUCGGUUCAGCUGCUCUCCUUCGCCUGUGGCGGCUUCUCCGUCGUGUGGGCGACCAACAACCUUGUGUGUGACGGCCAAGCCUUCACCAUGUUCGUCAGGAGGUGGUCCGAGCUCGCCCGAACUGGGCGCAUCGUCGACGGACCGCCCAACCAUGACCGCUCGGUGUUCAGCCCUCGCAGGCCGCCGUCGUACGGAGCCUCGAUCAGGGACAUGUUCGCGACGUACGACCAUGACCGGCUGGUGAACGUGCUGACGGCGCACGACAGCUUCGUCGAGCGCCUCUACUACAUCGAGGCGAGCGACAUCGCUGCCCUGCGGGAGGCGGCAAGCAGCAAGCUCCAGCGCCCGUCGCGCGUCCAGGCGGUGUCCGCGUACCUGUGGAAGGCCCUCGCCCGCGUGGUGGCCGCGUCCCGCGUGCCGGAGGAGCGCUGCUGCAUGGGGUGGAUGGUGGACGCGCGGCGGCGGGUGAAGGCGCCGGAGCUCGUCCGGGCGAUGGGCAACUACUUCGGCAACGUUACGGCCUACGCUCUCGGGGAGGCAGCCGUUGAGGAGAUACAGGAGAAGGAGCUGUCGGAGGUGGCGGCCAUGGUGCGGGAGACCAUCACGUCUAUCGACUACGAUGAGUACACCCAGGAGCUGGUGGACUGGGUGGAGGAGCACAAGACAGAGAGGCUGAUGGAGAAGGGCGUCAUCGGGCUCGGUACGCCCACCUUGAACCAGACGGUGUUCGCGUCGUUCCCGCUCGACACCGACUUCGGCUUCGGCCAUGCCGUGCUGGCAAUGCCCAUGUGCGACUACGGGAGGCUCAGCUCGGGGUACCUGUCGAUCGGAGCUCGGCCGGGAGGCGACGGCUCCUGGCUGGUCAACGCCUACAUAUGGCCUCGCCUCGCGGCGGCGCUUGAGUCGGACCAGCAGCGCAUCUUCAAGCCUCUCACGGCGGAGUAUCUAGGGCUCGUCUAG